rnacentral:rRNA from 1 species
GGGUUGUGAGGUUAAGCGACUAAGCGUACACGGUGGAUGCCCUGGCAGUCAGAGGCGAUGAAGGGCGUGCUAAUCUGCGAUAAGCGCCGGUAAGGUGAUAUGAACCGUUAUAACCGGCGAUACCCGAAUGGGGAAACCCAGUGUGACUCGUCACACUAUCAUUAACUGAAUCCAUAGGUUAAUGAGGCGAACCGGGGGAACUGAAACAUCUAAGUACCCCGAGGAAAAGAAAUCAACCGAGAUUCCCCCAGUAGCGGCGAGCGAACGGGGAGGAGCCCAGAGCCUGAAUCAGCAUGUGUGUUAGUGGAAGCGUCUGGAAAGGCGCGCGAUACAGGGUGACAGCCCCGUACACAAAAGCGCAUGUGUUGUGAGCUCGAUGAGUAGGGCGGGACACGUGGUAUCCUGUCUGAAUAUGGGGGGACCAUCCUCCAAGGCUAAAUACUCCUGACUGACCGAUAGUGAACCAGUACCGUGAGGGAAAGGCGAAAAGAACCCCGGCGAGGGGAGUGAAAAAGAACCUGAAACCGUGUACGUACAAGCAGUGGGAGCACAGGUUUACCUGUGUGACUGCGUACCUUUUGUAUAAUGGGUCAGCGACUUAUAUUCUGUAGCAAGGUUAACCGAAUAGGGGAGCCGGAGGGAAACCGAGUCUUAAUUGGGCGUUAAGUUGCAGGGUAUAGACCCGAAACCCGGUGAUCUAGCCAUGGGCAGGUUGAAGGUUGGGUAACACUAACUGGAGGACCGAACCGACUAAUGUUGAAAAAUUAGCGGAUGACCUGUGGCUGGGGGUGAAAGGCCAAUCAAACCGGGAGAUAGCUGGUUCUCCCCGAAAGCUAUUUAGGUAGCGCCUCGUGAAUUCAUCUCCGGGGGUAGAGCACUGUUUCGGCUAGGGGGCCAUCCCGGCUUACCAACCCGAUGCAAACUGCGAAUACCGGAGAAUGUUAUCACGGGAGACACACGGCGGGUGCUAACGUCCGUCGUGAAGAGGGAAACAACCCAGACCGCCAGCUAAGGUCCCAAAGUCAUGGUUAAGUGGGAAACGAUGUGGGAAGGCCCAGACAGCCAGGAUGUUGGCUUAGAAGCAGCCAUCAUUUAAAGAAAGCGUAAUAGCUCACUGGUCGAGUCGGCCUGCGCGGAAGAUGUAACGGGGCUAAACCAUGCACCGAAGCUGCGGCAGCGACACUCAGGUGUUGUUGGGUAGGGGAGCGUUCUGUAAGCCUGCGAAGGUGGCCUGUGAGGGUUGCUGGAGGUAUCAGAAGUGCGAAUGCUGACAUAAGUAACGAUAAAGCGGGUGAAAAGCCCGCUCGCCGGAAGACCAAGGGUUCCUGUCCAACGUUAAUCGGGGCAGG